rnacentral:rRNA from 1 species
UGGGGAAUAUUGCACAAUGGGCGCAAGCCUGAUGCAGCAACGCCGCGUGCGGGAUGACGGCCUUCGGGUUGUAAACCGCUUUCACCCAUGACGAAGCGAAAGUGACGGUAGUGGGAGAAGAAGCACCGGCCAACUACGUGCCAGCAGCCGCGGUGAUACGUAGGGUGCGAGCGUUGUCCGGAAUUAUUGGGCGUAAAGAGCUUGUAGGCGGUUGAUUGCGUCAGAAGUGAAAUCUCAGGGCUUAACUCUGAGCGUGCUUCUGAUACGGGUCGACUAGAGGAAUGUAGGGGAGAACGGAAUUCCUGGUGGAGCGGUGGAAUGCGCAGAUAUCAGGAGGAACACCGGUGGCGAAGGCGGUUCUCUGGACAUUUCCUGACGCUGAGAAGCGAAAGCGUGGGGAGCAAACAGG